rnacentral:rRNA from 1 species
GACGAACGCUGGCGGUGUGCUUAACACAUGCAAGUCGAACGGUAAGGCCCUUUCGGGGGUACACGAGUGGCGAACGGGUGAGUAACACGUGAGUAACCUGCCCUCAUCUCUGGGAUAACAGUCGGAAACGGUUGCUAAUACUGGAUAUGAGCCUGCAAGGCAUCUUGUGGGUUGGAAAGAUUUUUUGGUUGGGGAUGGACUCGCGGCCUAUCAGCUUGUUGGUGAGGUAGUGGCUCACCAAGGCUUCGACGGGUAGCCGGCCUGAGAGGGCGACCGGCCACAUUGGGACUGAGAUACGGCCCAAACUCCUACGGGAGGCAGCAGUGGGGAAUAUUGCACAAUGGACGGAAGUCUGAUGCAGCAACGCCGCGUGCGGGAGGACGGCCUUCGGGUUGGAAACCGCUUUCAAUUGUGACGAAGCUUUUUGUGACGGUAGCAGUAGAAGAAGCACCGGCUAACUACGUG